GCAGAUGAACGUGACCGGGGUCCAAAAAAAAACAUUCACUAAAUGGGUCAACAAACACCUAAUCAAGUUGAGAAAACAUAUUACUGAUCUCUAUGAAGAUCUAAGAGAUGGACAUAACCUAAUCUCUCUACUGGAAGUGUUGUCUGGCGUCACACUGCCUCGAGAAAAAGGCAGAAUGCGCUUCCACCGUAUGCAGAAUAUACAGAUUGCCCUGGACUUCCUCAGGCAGAGACAGGUAAAUGUGUAAAAUUCUGUUGUGGUUGUAUGAGGGGUGAUCAAAACAUUUUAAGCCUAAACCUUUAAGGAGUAUUCUACCUGUCUGAUUCUUUAAGUACCCAAAGAUUAGCUCUUGUUUACUAAUAUGGGUAGACCUUCACUAAUGCAGCACCAUUGGGACCUGAAGA